GCCCGGCUAGCUCAAUCGGUAGAGCGUGAGACUCUUACGAGUCUUCGAUUCUGGUAUCUCAAGGUUGUGGGUUCGACCCCCACGUCGGGCU
rfam:Valsa mali strain 03-8 chromosome 4, whole genome shotgun sequence.